rnacentral:rRNA from 1 species
UACGUAGGGUGCAAGCGUUAAUCGGAAUUACUGGGCGUAAAGCGUGCGCAGGCGGUUAUGCAAGACAGAUGUGAAAUCCCCGGGCUCAACCUGGGAACUGCAUCUGUGACUGCAUCGCUGGAGUGCGGCAGAGGGGGAUGGAAUUCCGCGUGUAGCAGUGAAAUGCGUAGAUAUGCGGAGGAACACCGAUGGCGAAGGCAAUCCCCUGGGCCUGCACUGACGCUCAUGCACGAAAGCGUGGGGAGCAAACAGG